GACGAGGGAUCCUAGCGUUGUUCGGAAUCAUUGGGCGUAAAGAGUAUGUAGGCGGCCUUGUAAGUCAGUUGUGAAAGCCCCGGGCUCAACCCGGGAAGUGCAAUUGAUACUGCUUGGCUUGAAUGUGGAAGAGGGCAGUAGAAUUCCUGGUGUAGUGGUGAAAUACGUAGAUAUCAGGAGGAAUACCGGUGGCGAAGGCGGCUGCCUGGUCCUACAUUGACGCUGAGAUACGAAAGCGUGGGGAGCAAACAGG
rnacentral:rRNA from 1 species